AUAGUGGCCGAUCGGCGCAAGCCUGAUCCAGCCAUGACGCGCGAGUGAAGAAGGCCUUCGGGUUGUAACGCUCCUUCGGACGGAAAGAAAACGCGCAGUCUAAUACCCUGCGUGGCUGACGGUACCGUCAUAAGAAACACCGGCUAGCUACGUGCCAGCAGCCGUGGUAAUACGUAGGGUGUGAGCGUUAAUCGGAAUUACUGGGCGUAAAGCGUGCGCAGGCGGUUGAUUAAGACAGGCGUGAAAUCCCCGGGCUUAACGUGGGAACUGCGCUUGUGACUGGUCAGCUAGAGUACGGCAGAGGGGGGUGGAAUUCCACGUGUAGCAGUGAAAUGCGUAGAGAUGUGGAGGAACACCGAUGGCGAAGGCAGCCCCCUGGGCCGAUAAUGACGCUCAUGCACGAAAGCGUGGGUAGCAAACAGG
rnacentral:rRNA from 1 species